CAGUAGCCGCGGUAAUACGUAGGGUGCAAGCGUUAAUCGGAAUUACUGGGCGUAAAGCGUGCGCAGGCGGUGUUGUAAGACUGAUGUGAAAUCCCCGGGCUCAACCUGGGAACUGCAUUGGUGACUGCAACGCUGGAGUGCGGCAGAGGGGGAUGGAAUUCCGCGUGUAGCAGUGAAAUGCGUAGAGAUGUGGAGGAACACCGAUGGCGAAGGCAGCCCCCUGGGCCAAUACUGACGCUCAUGCACGAAAGCGUGGGGAGCAAACAGGAUUAGAUACCCCUGUAGUCCCUGUCUCUUAUAC
rnacentral:rRNA from 1 species